rnacentral:precursor_RNA from 17 species
CCUUCAAGCCGAUUGCAGACUCGGGCUCUCCGUGUUCACAGCGGACCUUGAUUUAAUGUCAUACAAUUAAGGCACGCGGUGAAUGCCAAGAGCCGGGCCACUCACUCCACUGUCUCAG